CCACUUCGGUGGGGAUUAGUGGCGAACGGGUGAGUAACACGUGGGCAAUCUGCCCUUCACUCUGGGACAAGCCCUGGAAACGGGGUCUAAUACCGGAUACUGACCCUUGCAGGCAUCUGCGAGGUUCGAAAGCUCCGGCGGUGAAGGAUGAGCCCGCGGCCUAUCAGCUUGUUGGUGAGGUAAUGGCUCACCAAGGCGACGACGGGUAGCCGGCCUGAGAGGGCGACCGGCCACACUGGGACUGAGACACGGCCCAGACUCCUACGGGAGGCAGCAGUGGGGAAUAUUGCACAAUGGGCGAAAGCCUGAUGCAGCGACGCCGCGUGAGGGAUGACGGCCUUCGGGUUGUAAACCUCUUUCAGCAGGGAAGAAGCGAAAGUGACGGUACCUGCAGAAGAAGCGCCGGCUAACUACGUGCCAGCAGCCGCGGUAAUACGUAGGGCGCAAGCGUUGUCCGGAAUUAUUGGGCGUAAAGAGCUCGUAGGCGGCUUGUCACGUCGGUUGUGAAAGCCCGGGGCUUAACCCCGGGUCUGCAGUCGAUACGGGCAGGCUAGAGUUCGGUAGGGGAGAUCGGAAUUCCUGGUGUAGCGGUGAAAUGCGCAGAUA
rnacentral:rRNA from 1 species